rnacentral:lncRNA from 1 species
GCGGUGGCUGCCUUCUCCUCCGUAGGAGCAAGAGUUGGUGCGGGCGUCACCUGCUCUGUUGGAGAAGAAGCAGUUGGCAGUGCGGCCGUAGGCGCAGGUGUCGCCUGCUUUGUUGGAGGCGAAUUAGUUGGCGGUGCAGUCGUAGGCGCAGGUGUCGUCUGCUUUGUUGGAGGCGAAUCAGUUGGCGGUGCGGCCGUAGGUGCAGGUGUCGUUUGCUUUGUUGGAGGCGAAGCAGUUGGCGGUGCGGCCGUAGGCGCAGGUGUCGCCUGCUUUGUUGUAGGCGAAGCAGUUGGCGAUGCGGCCGUAGGCGCAGGUAUCUCUUGCUUUGUUGGAGAUGAAGCAGUUGGUGGUGUGGCGACAGGUGUAGAUGUCUUCUUCGCGCCAUCAAUGCCAGGUGGGAUGAUGGGAUCGGA